rnacentral:rRNA from 1 species
GAUGAACGCUGGCGGCGUGCUUAACACAUGCAAGUCGAACGAUGAAGCCCAGCUUGCUGGGUGGAUUAGUGGCGAACGGUUGAGUAACACGUGAGUAACCUGCCCUUAACUCUGGGAUAAGCCUGGGAAACUGGGUCUAAUACCGGAUAGGAGCGUCCACCGCAUGGUGGGUGUUGGAAAGAUUUAUCGGUUUUGGAUGGACUCGCGGCCUAUCAGCUUGUUGGUGAGGUAAUGGCUCACCAAGGCGACGACGGGUAGCCGGCCUGAGAGGGUGACCGGCCACACUGGGACUGAGACACGGCCCAGACUCCUACGGGAGGCAGCAGUGGGGAAUAUUGCACAAUGGGCGAAAGCCUGAUGCAGCGACGCCGCGUGAGGGAUGACGGCCUUCGGGUUGUAAACCUCUUUCAGUAGGGAAGAAGCGAAAGUGACGGUACCUGCAGAAGAAGCACCGGCUAACUACGUG